GUGGAAGGACCCCGAGUCCAGGACUGGAAAGUGCGUGAUUUACAACUAGAGGGACAGGCGCUGUCCCGGAGGCUGUCCCCUAGCCCGUCCCGGGCCAGGGAGGAGGAGACGGAGGACUACAGUUCCCGACGCAACGCGGGGCGGGCGGAGAUCGUGCGCUUCCUCGGGCCGCGCCCAGUGCGCUUCGGCGCUGGUUGCACGGCCUUGGUCUCGGGUGGCGGCUCCCCUGGUCCUGUGACGGUCCCCUUGUCUUCCGACCCCUCGCUCCUCGGUCGUCUGUCCACGCCGGUCGCCGCGGCAGCCCCUGAUUCCCGAGCGACGGGUUCCCACGCCCAGCUGUGGGCACGAAGCCCAGAGCCUGGUGGAAUCCUUGGCCACCCUGCCCGCCCCUUUGCCUAUUAUCCUGCCGCCUCCAAAUCCUGUUUUUGGUAUCUCUUGGAAGAGGGUGAAAAUGGAAAGAAAAGGAAAAAAACCACUUGUAGCCGUAGUUAGUGGGUAAAUUCAGAUCUUGUUUGAACCUGGGUGUUUAUCUCCAGUCACCGUAUCGUCUUUUUAGCAAUCAUAGCUUGUCCCCAUCAAUACCUGGUUCAGAAGCCUCUCGCAGCCUCCAUCGUCUGGUUAAAAAGUCCAAAUUCAAGAGAAAGAGUGUUUGUGUUAAUGUCUAGACCUUACCAGCCAUUUCCUAGCUCCUCCGUAUGGAAACUGCAACUGAAAACACCCUUUCCAAAAAAAAAUCAAUCUACAUUUUUCUCUGGGUUUUCUUCUCCAAAUUUCACACCCCUGCCUCUCUUACACACUCUGGAUACCACCUGCUGUGGAGUGCAGGAAGCGCCAUCCAGCAACCGCUAGGUGUUCUGUCGUUGACACCCAAGCAAGACAGGCGUGUACAUAGCUGAGGACAUGCCCUUGCUUCCCUCAGACAAGUAGGCAGAAAAGAGUAAGGUUAAAAGAGAAAAAGGAGGUGAGCAGAUCCACAGAGGGAUGCAGCUACACAGUGGAAGACAGACCUUGUGACCCAUUAGGGAAAGGGGCAGCAGGUGUUAGAGAAAGAGACCUGUAGGGAUCAUGAUCAUUCCUGUGCUAGCCUCUGACUCCAGACAAAUUUAUCUUCACCAUAACUUUCCUUUUAUUUAAAAUUACUUAAAUGAGUGUUUUUCCAAAGCACAUUACUGGAGAAGACACCACCUCUCUCUCCCUCUACACCGUCGUACCCACAGGUACGAUGCACUUUUAUCAUUAGGGGAACUUGGACUUCUCACUGCUGCCCCCCUGCCUUUUCACUCUGCGAUUGUUUUCCCCUCGCCUGAAACUCACUUCCUUCCAGCUCUAGGUGUGGAAAUCCUACCUGCUCUUCCAGGUUCCGUGGUUUACCUCCGCAACCCCAAGACUCUCCCACCUUUUUUGCCCCUGAGCACUGAGUAAUUUUUAAUAACCACAUUUUGAAUUGGAUGAUAGUGACUUUUAUAUCUUAGAGAUGAGUCUUCCCUUUAAAUACUGCACAGUAGAUGUUAAAUGAAGGUUAAAAGGAGUCAAAUUUACUGCAAAUAAUUGAAGGUUGCAGUGGUGGGCUUUCAACUUGUCGCCAGAUAUCAGCAAUUUGCUCACAGCCUCAGCGCUUACCCUCAAAGUGAUUUGAAGCCAGAGGGUAAACAGGUUGCUUCUUCCUGAAACACUGAUUUUACUUAGAAACCAGACAAAAAAAAACAUUAGUUUUAAGACAAUCAGUUUGAAAUAGAAUGCAAAACUAGUAUGAUUGUUAAAGCAAAAUUUUCUUCAACCUGAGGAAGCUGAUUGAGAAAAGAAAAAAUGGGUAAAGCAGCAUUUGAAAGGACUUUCAUGACUUCCACCCUGCAGUUGCCCUCUGUAAAGGAGGACGAGCCCACUCUGCCUUGUGGGUUUGUGAAUGCCUGGUAGCUGUAACUGUUGCUCACAUGAGAAGCUUCCUGUUGCUUCCAAGACAGGAUGAGGAAGAAGGCAGAACUGUAGCUGGAUGUCCACAGUUGGAAGGUCCUCACUUUGAACUGUGUCCGCACAGCACCAGUGGCAGACAGCGGCAGCCGCUCACC